rnacentral:rRNA from 1 species
GAUGAACGCUGGCGGCGUGCCUAAUACAUGCAAGUCGAGCGAACGGACGAGAAGCUUGCUUCUCUGAUGUUAGCGGCGGACGGGUGAGUAACACGUGGAUAACCUACCUAUAAGACUGGGAUAACUUCGGGAAACCGGAGCUAAUACCGGAUGAUAUUUUGAACCGCAUGGUUCAAAAGUGAAAGACGGUCUUGCUGUCACUUAUAGAUGGAUCCGCGCUGCAUUAGCUAGUUGGUAAGGUAAUGGCUUACCAAGGCAACGAUGCAUAGCCGACCUGAGAGGGUGAUAGGCCACACUGGAACUGAGACACGGUCCAGACUACUACGGGAGGCAGCAGUAGGGAAUCUUCCGCAAUGGGCGAAAGCCUGACGGAGCAACGCCGCGUGAGUGAUGAAGGUCUUCGGAUCGUAAAACUCUGUUAUUAGGGAAGAACAUAUGUGUAAGUAACUGUGCACAUCUUGACGGUACCUAAUCAGAAAGCCACGGCUAACUACGUG